rnacentral:antisense_RNA from 1 species
AGCCUGAACUUUCUCAUCUAACACCUGUUCAAGUCGGAGGAUGCUGAUUAAUUCAUGAUGGAAAGGUAUCAAUUUCACAGCCCAGACUUCUACAUUCUUGAAAUGCUGUUCUCAUGGGAGACAUUAAAUAAGCUUUGAAAUAACUGAAGAACCAAUGAUGUGAUCCCUGGAUACUGGCAAUUGUUGCCCAAGAAACCCUCUCCCCUUGCUAUGGGACUGCUGGGCACCCAAAUAAUGCACCCAAAUAAUUUGAUAGCUCUUGUUACACAGCUCUUUUUGGACUAAAAGGCCCUCAGCAUUCCUGGCAAUUUCUACACUCCUGAAGCUUCAUCUGGAGACGUCUGUGGAUUCUAUAACUCAAAGACCCAGGCUGAUGGCUGGUGGAAUAGCUACCAUCUCAAACAUGGCGUGAUGCUGCAUCAGAGGGAAAAAUAAGCUCUUGCACUGGCAAUGAAAUGUCUACCCUGUAGUGACUUGUGCUUACUUCCACUCACAAAUGAUUGCCCAGAGCUACUUACCUGGCUCCAAUCUACCACUGGGUCAGACGUUUGCCGAAUUCAGUUCUGAGCUUUUGAACCAAAAGCAGAUCUUCAGAACAAGAAAGAAGAUAAUAAAAGAGAAACACAAAGAAACUGAAGAUGAUUGGAGAUAUAUGAAUCAAGAUGAUUAGACCUAGCAGAGGGCUGGCUGGAUGGCAUUUAUGUUGACGAUGGACUCCUACACAGAGGAUGAUCGU